rnacentral:rRNA from 1 species
AUCAACUUUCGAUGGUAGGAUAGAGGCCUACCAUGGUGGUAACGGGUAACGGGGUGUUAGGGCACGACACCGGAGAGGGAGCCUGAGAAACGGCUACCACAUCCAAGGAUGGCAGCAGGCGCGCAAAUUACCCAAUCCCGACACGGGGAGGUAGUGACAAUAAAUAACAAUACGGGGUUCUUUCGGAUUUCGUAAUUGGAAUGAGUACAAUUUAAAUCUCUUAACGAGGAACAAUUGGAGGGCAAGUCUGGUGCCAGCAGCCGCGGUAAUUCCAGCUCCAAUAGCGUAUAUUAAAGUUGUUGCAGUUAAAAAGCUCGUAGUUGAAUUUCGGGAUCAAAUUGUCGGUCGUGCCUCGGUACGUACUGGCAUUAUUGGUUCCUCCCUUCUGACGAACCACGAUGUCAUUAAUUUGGUGUCAUGGGAAAUCAGGACUGUUACUUUGAAAAAAUUAGAGUGUUUAAAGCAGGCUCGCGCUUGAAUACAUUAGCAUGGAAUAAUGAAAUAGGACGUUUGAUUCUAUUUUGUUGGUUUCUAGGAUCGACGUAAUGAUUAAUAGGGAUAGUUGGGGGCAUUAGUAUUCAAUUGUCAGAGGUGAAAUUCUUGGAUUUAUUGAAGACUAACUACUGCGAAAGCAUUUGCCAAGGAUGUUUUCAUUAAUCAAGAACGAAAGUUAGGGGAUCGAAGACGAUCAGAUACCGUCGUAGUCUUAACCAUAAACUAUGCCGACUAGGGAUCGGAUGAUGUUAAUUUUUUAAUGACUCAUUCGGCGCCUUACGGGAAACCAAAGUGUUUGGGUUC